rnacentral:rRNA from 1 species
AUACGGAGGGGGCUAGCGUUGUUCGGAAUCACUGGGCGUAAGGCGCGCGUAGGUGGAUCAAUUAGUUGAGGGUGAAAUCCCGGGGCUCAACCUCGGAACUGCCUUCAAUACUGUUGAUCUUGAGACCGAGAGAGGUGAGUGGAAUUCCUAGUAUAGAGGUGAAAUUCGUAGAUAUUAGGAAGAACACCAGUGGCGAAGGCGGCUCACUGGCUCGGUACUGACGCUGAGGUGCGAAAGCGUGGGGAGCAAACAGGAUUAGAUACCCUAGUAGUCC